rnacentral:rRNA from 1 species
GCAAGUCGAGCGAGAAAGGUUCCUUAGGGAGCUGUGUACAGCGGCGCACGGGUGAGUAACGCGUGGAUGAUCCCCCACUGGGACUGGGAUAACAGCGGGAAACUGAUGCUAAUACCGGAUACGCAGCAUUUUUCAACGAUGCGGGAAAGGUGGCCGCUGCUUGCAAGCUGCCGUCCAAGGAUGAGUCCGCGUCGGAUUAGCUUGAUGGUGAGGUAAUGGCCUACCAUGGCGACGAUGAGUAGCCGGCCUGAGAGGGUGGCC